CCUCCUUCUUUUUUGUCUAGGCUACUGGAAAUGUCUUGAACGGGGGGAAAGAGGGUUUUCCAAAAUCCCAGCCAACCAGGGCUUCCAUUGUAGAAUUUUCAAACAUAAACGCAGCAGACUUCAUAGAAAAAGGAGGAGUAACUGAUGGGAUUGAAAAUGACAACAAAGGUAAUAAGGAUGCGGCUCUUGAGCAGUGCGUGGACUUCAUCUUGGAAGAAAAGAAGGAAGCAGGUAAAAGGCCCUUGGCAUUAUGGGAUGUUCCUCUGAAUUGCAGGGAGACAAUUUCCCUGUUUGGAUCCUGGGAG